rnacentral:tRNA from 1 species
GCCGGCAUGGCGCAACUGGUAGCGCACCCGACUUGUAAUCGGAAGGUUGCGGGUUCAAGUCCCGCUGCCGGCU